UCAAUCGUUCCUAUUCGAGAAAAGAGUCAUUCUGUUUUGGGUUUAACUUGAACAAUGGGCCUUUUGCUGCUGUUCAACCUUACACCGCAGCCAGUCUCAAAGUUCAAUUUUUUUAUCAUUAACCCCGUUUACUACAAUAAUCGGGCCUUGCGGGCUUGCGGCCGUCCGAUCUAGGGUUUCACCUUAAACCCCUUUACAAACUCAUAUAAUAACUCCACCCAAACCAUUGUUCUCCAUCAUCAACAUCGCUGCUCUCGCCGCACAUUUCCUCGUUGCCUGCUAAGAUGAAAAGUCAAACUUGCAUUGGUCAACUUGUCAACUUUGGGAGAUGGUAAAGAGAAUCCUUCUUUAAAGUGCCUCUAGUGGGGAUAAAACUCCCAACCUUUUAGUUAGAAGGUGAAGUUGAAGACGAAUCUAAUCACAAGCUGGGAUUGUUAUAGUGGGAAGGUGGGACUGAAUCCUUUGGCGGUCAUGUUAUAUAAGUAAUUUGAGAGGUGGGAAUGAAUCUGGAAACAAUUGUGGAAGUCUGAAGAUGGAAAUGGAAAGGAUAAGCAGAUGGAAAUAGAAGCUAUGAGCGCGGAUCAGGGUGAGGCUAUGAGUAAUUUCACAUCAGAUUCAAUCCGUUACAAUCUUUAGCGAUUGUAUAAAUAUCAUAACAAACUUUGCAGUAGUAUCCGUGUUGCAAUUUGGAGUUCGUUACUUUAUGUUGUGAGAUCUAAAGUUUUGCGAAUAGGCUUGUGAAUUGUACAAGUAAAGCCCAUGAAAUGGCUACUAAAGCUGUACAAAAAACCAAUGAAUACGAUUGCAAGAAAUUUGAAGUAUUUCGUAGUUUUUUUUGUAGAUUUUGUUUUAGUUAUAAUUUUGUUAAACUUAGUUAUGAAAUAAAGUGUUUUAGUUAUUUUUGCA